rnacentral:rRNA from 1 species
UACAGAGGGUGCGAGCGUUGUUCGGAAUUACUGGGCGUAAGCGUGCGCAGGCGGUUUUGUAAGUCAGAUGUGAAAUCCCCGGGCUCAACCUGGGAACUGCGUUUGAAACUACAAGGCUAGAGUGUAGCAGAGGGGGGGUAGAAUUCCACGUGUAGCAGUGAAAUGCGUAGAGAUGUGGAGGAAUACCAAUGGCGAAGGCAGCCCCCUGGGUUAACACUGACG